UACGUAGGGUGCGAGCGUUAAUCGGAAUUACUGGGCGUAAAGCGUGCGCAGGCGGUUUUGUAAGCCAGAUGUGAAGUCCCCGGGCUCAACCUGGGAAUGGCAUUUGGGACUGCAAGGCUUGAGUGCGGCAGAGGAGACUGGAAUUCCUGGUGUAGCAGUGAAAUGCGUAGAUAUCUGGAGGAACACCGGUGGCGAAGGCGGCAUCCUGGACCGGUAUUGACGCUGAGGCGCGAAAGCCAGGGGAGCAAACGGG
rnacentral:rRNA from 1 species